rnacentral:rRNA from 1 species
AGUGAACGCUGGCGGUAUGCCUAACACAUGCAAGUCGAACGGCAGCACAGUUAGUGCUUGCUCUUACCGAUUGCGAGUGGCGUGCGGGUUAGGAAUACAUCUGUCUCUACUUUUUCGUUGGGCCUACCGUAGCGGAACUUAUGCUACUACCGCAUACCACCUACGGGUGAAAGCACUUGAUCUUCCGCCCUUUCGCGUUUGCCUGAGCCGAUGUCGGAUUAGCUAGUUGGCGGGGUAAAGGCCCACCAAGGCGACGAUCCGUAGCUGGUCUGAGAGGAUGAUCAGCCACACUGGAACUGAGACACGGUCCAGACUCCUACGGGAGGCAGCAGUGGGGAAUAUUGGACAAUGGGCGAAAGCCUGAUCCAGCAAUACCGCGUGGGUGAAGAAGGCCUUCGGGUUGUAAAGCACUUUUGUUGGGAAAGAAAAGCAGCAGGUUAAUACAGCGGGGGGAUGACGGUACCCAAAGAAUAAGCACCGGCUAACUACGUG